CCUACAGAUUCAAAUUAGGUAUUUUUAAUUGAAGUCCAACUUAUAAUAUUUAUUUAAUAAUGAAAAUUUGUGUUAUUAAUGUUUUAUACUUUUCUUUUUAUUAAAUUUAAUAUUGUAUAUUGUGUUAUACUCAGAUAACUGCAGCAGCUAAUUCAAAAGAUUAUAAGGAGACCUUGUCAACAUUUUUGAACAAUAAUAAUGAAGAGGGAAAGGAAAUAUUAAUUUCCUAUCAACAAAAUGGAAAAUUAUUAAUUUCAAAAACUCGUAAAGCUUUGGUUGAUUUGAUUAUUCGCAGAGAAAAAAAUGAGGUUUUAAAAAACUUGAAACGUGGAGAAAAAUUGGAGUCCUGGAGCAUUUCAAAAUCGCGGUUUACAGAAUUAUCUUUAGAAAUUAAAACGCUAUUUGAUGGAGAAUCAGCUUCCACAUAUUAUGUUCCAUUUUCUUGUGAACAAGGAAAUCAUUUAGAUGCUGGAGGGAAUUUGUAUGCUCAUCAUUAUGCACAAAGUUUGAUGCGAGUGUCAGGUAUUCUUAUUGGAAGUAAAAAAAAAAGAAACCGCAAUUCAAUCACAAAAUAUUGUUUUAGAUUAAAUUGGAUUUUAACAAAGGCAACGAAAAUACUUCGUCAAAGCUUUUUCAAAAGUGGCAAAAAAUUAGAGGAUACUUGAUUAAUAAAUUACAAACAGUAAAAUCAACAACUAUUGAAGAUGCAGCACUUUUAAGAGUCAUCACAGGAUUAUCGUGUGGUAUAUAAUGUCAUUAAAACUGAGGGAUCCACUUAACGCAAGAGACAAUUAUGUUACAUCCACAUGACAGAACUAUUUUAAUUCAGAAACAAGAUGUUAUUAUUUACCAUUUAUUGCAUUACAUUACAACGUCAGACAAGAGGAAAAGUAAUGACUAUCAAUCACUGAAUGUUUUAGAAUUUCGAAGAUUAAGUGUUUUUGAAAAAAGAAGUGGCUAUCUUCUGCAUGUUGAAGUAAGCAGUUAAUUUAAAGAUUCAAAUAAUUUUGAUAGAAUAAUUUUUUAGAAUACAACGGAACUAGAGACUAAAUUGACUGAACUCAGGAAUUCAUUGAAGUCUAGAAAUUUAAAACUUCAACCUCUAAUUGCAAUAGUUUCUGGAGAAAGGCUUUCUACACACAGUCGCGUUUUACAAGGAGAAAAAAAAUUUUAAAUUCUGUUUAGAUCUCGAAAAAACACAAUCAAAUUUAUGUAAAAAAUUUAGAUAAUUUUUAAUUUUACUAGUUAUAAACGGGAAAAAAUAAUUUAUUUAAAUCUUUGCUGGAUUAAAACCAAAUAUUGUUUUUGUUAAAAAUUUUUGU